GGUGGAGCCGAUGAUCCAGACCUGUAGUAGGUGAGUGAUGGGGUGACGCAGGAAGGUAGUCCAUCCCGGGCGGUGGUUGUCCCGGGGUAAGGGUGUAGGCCGUGCGGUAGGUAAAUCCGUCGCACACGAGGCUGAGACCUGAUGCCGAGCCGAUUGUGGUGAAGUGGAUGAUCCUAUGCUGUCGAGAAAAGCCUCUAGCGAGUUUCAUGGCGGCCCGUACCCUAAACCGA
rnacentral:rRNA from 1 species